GGGGAUGACAGGAUUCGACGAGGAAUUUGCACUUUUACACAUCGUUAGGGCGGACCUAUCCGUUAAAUGGAAACCUUUUAAAUGCAAAAGCUAAUACUGCAAUUGCAGAUCUUAAGGCUUAUGUUCUUGAAGCAUAUGAAAGCGCAACCGCGUCUCAGUAUGCUCAAAACGCCGCAUAUUUAUAUGCGUAAAACCGUAAGAUCCUCUGUAUAAGUUUUCCUCUGUUCAACUUGUAGAGAGUAAACCAAUGGAGGUAAGAUUUUUUUGGCAUUCCCGAUUGGCCAGGAAAGUCGACAACUCAUAAUCGGCUGUAUAUCCAUCUUUGUUUAUUUAUAAAGGUAUACUCGAGCCCACAAAUAAACUAUCCCUAGCUAUAAAAUGUGUUUGAGUGUUUCCCCGGACCCCGGUUCAAUUCCGGGCAUCUCCACCA
rnacentral:tmRNA from 1 species